rnacentral:rRNA from 1 species
AGCGAACGCUGGCGGCAGGCUUAACACAUGCAAGUCGAGCGCCCCGCAAGGGGAGCGGCAGACGGGAGAGUAACACGUGGGAACGUACCCUUCAGUUCGGAACAACCCAGGGAAACUUGGGCUAAUACCGAAUACGUCCGUAAGGAGAAAGAUUUAUCGCUGAAGGAUCGGCCCGCGUCUGAUUAGCUAGUUGGUGAGGUAACGGCUCACCAAGGCGACGAUCAGUAGCUGGUCUGAGAGGAUGAUCAGCCUCACUGGGACUGAGACACGGCCCAGACUCCUACGGGAGGCAGCAGUGGGGAAUAUUGGACAAUGGGCGCAAGCCUGAUCCAGCCAUGCCGCGUGAGUGAUGAAGGCCUUAGGGUUGUAAAGCUCUUUUAACGGGGAAGAUAAUGACGGUACCCGUAGAAUAAGCCCCGGCUAACUUCGUGCCAGCCGCCGCAGUAA